rnacentral:misc_RNA from 1 species
CUACCCCCUCCUAAAAAUGGUGAUAUUCUAGUUCAUAUUUGAUACCAUCACUUCAAAUUACUCCAGGCGUUCCCUAAACUUGGAUCUCCAAAGUCCACCUAUACAUCUCCUCCUCUGGUACAGGGAGAGUCAGGGUCACUAGUCCAGUAUCAGAGUCAUAGUUGAAGUCAGUUUCAGCAUCAUCCACUAAGCAUUUCAGUGGGCGCUGCGAAGAGUAUGCCCCGAAACGUCCGCAUCCUCUAACUUUUAGUGAAAUGGUUGCAGUUGGAGACCGAUUUUCACUGAGUAAAGUAGUAAUCUCUGAGCAGACCUCACCAUCAAAGUGCUCUGGUUUCUUGUCAGAAGCCACCUUAAUUUCCAACUGAUCCACAGCACCACCUGUGUUGAACAUGUCAAGCAACCCAAAUGGUGCAAAUGAAAUGUUGGAAGUGAUCUCCAUGAUUGGACAGAAAUGGAAGAGUUCAUAGUCAAGAACUUUCAGUGUCACUGGCAUUGAAGCACCUUUAGGUAACCGAACCACCUCCCCUGAUUUAUGGGUAUAUACUAUUGUCUCCCCAUUCCAAUCUGCACCAGCAACUUGAGCAAUACAGUCCACAUCAGUGGCACGAACAGAGCCAGUGAGGGUACCAGGAGAAGCAUCAUGAAUGCGGGUCUUCUUUUCAAUCUUGCACCAACCAGCACCUUGGCAGUUAAAAGCACCAACCACACCAGUGCAUUUGUUCACAUUCCAUAUCUUCAGCAAGCUGGUACCGUCUCUUGCUGGAUCGACAAAGAGAGAAUCACGAGUAGGCCUGCCAGGAAGUUGGGCACGCAGAAUUGAUCCAUCAGGAAGGACCAGCUUCUUCAGUAGCUCAAAGUUGUGGUUGCCAGGCUUAUCACUGACAUAGAUUGGACACCCACCAAUAGCACGAGCUGCUCCAUGAUAAUCUGCAGCAGGAUGUAAACUAUGGAACAUAUCCCAGUCAGGUUGCAUAAAUUCUCCAAGGAAAAUUGUGUUGUAAGCCACAGAGGAAAUAUGAAUGGUGUGCGAAGCAGGGUCCCUAGGAUAGAAGUCAUCAGAAGCUCUCACAACAGCAGUCUGCUUGGCACUGUAGAUCCCAUCGGUGUUAUGGCACAUGCAUGCGAUACAUCCAUUGUCAGGGAAGUUUCGUCCAACCGAAGCCUCAAGAGCUUGGUGAUAGCUGCGGGUGAGGGAAACUCUUCCACCAUGACCAGCACCAAGGGUCUCAAUGAUGUUCUGAACAUCAACUUUUACUCCAUCCACACCACAUGAGGCCAAGUAGGCAUGAAGCUCAUUAUAGAAA